rnacentral:rRNA from 1 species
GUGGGGAAUAUUGCACAAUGGGGGGAACCCUGAUGCAGCGACGCCGCGUGGAGGAAGAAGGUCUUCGGAUUGUAAACUCCUGUCGUUGAGGACGAAGAAAGACGGUACUCGACAAGAAAGCCACGGCUAACUACGUGCCAGCAGCCGCGGUAAAACGUAGGUGGCAAGCGUUGUCCGGAAUUACUGGGUGUAAAGGGAGCGCAGGCGGAGGGACAAGUUGGAUGUGAAACCCAUGGGCUCAACCCAUGGCCUGCAUCCAAAACUGUAACUCUUGAGUAGUGUAGAGGUAGGCGGAAUUCCCGGUGUAGCGGUGGAAUGCGUAGAUAUCGGGAGGAACACCAGUGGCGAAGGCGGCCUACUGGGCACCAACUGACGCUGAGGCUCGAAAGCAUGGGUAGCAAACAGGA